ACGAACGCUGGCGGCGUGCUUAACACCUGCAAGUCGCACGGUGAAGCGCUUUCCUUUUUGGUUGGUGUGGAUGAGUGGCGAACGGGUGAGUAACACGUGAGUAACCUGCCCCCUUCUUCUGGAUAACCGCAUGAAAGUGUGGCUAAUACGGGAUAUUCUGCGCCUGCUGCAUGGUGGGUGUGGGAAAGAUUGUGCCUUUGGGUGUUUUCGGUGGGGGAUGGGCUCGCGGCCUAUCAGCUUGUUGGUGGGGUGAUGGCCUACCAAGGCGGUGACGGGUAGCCGGACUGAGAGGGUGGACGGUCACACUGGGACUGAGACACGGCCCAGACUCCUACGGGAGGCAGCAGUGGGGAAGAUUGCACAAGGGGCGCAAGCCUGAUGCAGCGACGCCGCGUGAGGGAUGGAGGCCUUCGGGUUGUGAACCUCUUUCGCCAGUGAAGCAGGCCUGCUCCUUGUGGGUGGGUUGACGGUAGCUGGAUAAGAAGCGCCGGCUAACUACGUG
rnacentral:rRNA from 1 species